CAUGUCAAUCUUGGUCAUCCAUGACACCACACCGGCAUCAGAGGACCCCAGAAAACUACCCAAAUGAACUCUAUGUUUGGGAAUGGGAAAGGAUACCGGGGCAAGAAGGCAACCACUGUUACUGGGACGCCACGCCAAGAAUGGACUGCCCAAGAGCCCCAUAGACACAGCAGGUUCACUCCAGGGACAAGUCCACGGGCAGGUCUGGAAAAAAAUGUAGGGACAUGGAUGAAGCUGGAAACCAUCAUCCUCAGCAAACUAUCGCAAGGACAAAAAACCAAACACCGCAUGUUGUCACUCAGGUGGGAAUUGAACGAAAACACAUGGACACAGGAAGGGGAACAUCACACCCAGGGCCUGUUGUGGGGUGGGGGGAGGGGGGAGGAUAGCAUUAGGAGAUAUACCUAAUGUUAAAUGACGAGUUAAUGGGUGCAGCACACCAACAUGGCACAUGUAUACAUAUGUAACAAACCUGCACGUUGUGCACAUGGACCCUGAAACUUAAAGUAUAAUAAAAAAAAAUGUAAGCC
rnacentral:lncRNA from 1 species